rnacentral:rRNA from 1 species
UACGAAGGGUGCAAGCGUUAAUCGGAAUUACUGGGCGUAAAGCGUGCGUAGGCGGUUCGUUGUGUCAGAUGUGAAAGCCCUGGGCUCAACCUGGGAAUGGCAUUUGAAACUGGCGAGCUAGAGUGUGAUAGAGGAUGGCGGAAUUCCCGGUGUAGCGGUGAAAUGCGUAGAGAUCGGGAGGAACAUCCGUGGCGAAGGCGGCCAUCUGGAUCAACACUGACGCUGAGGCACGAAAGCGUGGGGAGCAAACAGGAUUAGAUACCCUGGUAGUCCACGCCCUAAACGAUGCGAACUGGAUGUUGGUCUCAACUCGGAGAUCAGUGUCGAAGCUAACGCGUUAAGUUCGCCGCCUGGGGAGUACGGUCGCAAGACUGAA